UAAAAGAUGAACCGUAUGGAUACAAAUCUGACAUAUGGUCACUAGGUUGCUGUAUGUAUGAAAUAACAUCACACCAGCCUGCGUUUAAAGCUCCGGAUAAGGCUGGACUCAUCAACAAGAUAAACAGAUCUCUGAUGUCUCCUCUUCCUAUUGUCUACU